rnacentral:snRNA from 1 species
AUAUGUGACGGCCAUCAGGAUGUGACAUCGAUCACCUCAUUGAUAGCAAGGUUCUAUUCAGCUGGGCUGGCUAGGUUAUGUCCCCUUCCUCUCCUACAUUCACGAAUGUCUCCUAUCCCAGAAGCUGUGAGACUGGUCAAAGCAAGUGGCCAUUUCAAUUGGAGGAGGCCUAUCCUUGGUCAAAGGCAUGUGAGUCUGUAUGCUCCCCUGUUGGAGCACUAGAACUACCAUAUUUGAGCCAUAUUGAAAGUGAGAACUAACAUAUUGAAAGUGACUCAGUAAGUUGUGGGAUGUAGUGAGAGGCUUUUUGUUCCUUCAU